AGAUGGUAACUGCUGGUGAGGUAUUCCCUCCACUUUUCAGAAUUCCCCACAGUGGACUUCCCCUUGGAGGAAGCCUGGGCAAAAGGAGCAUGAGAGUUUGCUUUGGUACAACUCUGUGGACAGGCCUUUAGGUUUCGGUGGUGCGGUCGGUGGUGGUCCACAAGUAGACGAUCCUCUUUCUGACGAAUCAUAAGAAGGUCAAUAAGUAGUCUAACUCUACGGCGUCGCAAUGCCUACGUCAUUCACCGGGCUUCAUCUGGGUGUGUAGGGAUUUUCUUCUCUCACGUCGCUGCAAGGUCGGGAUUGAAGAGUCUUUAAAUGAAAAGUUUUCAAGAUUUAAACAAGGUGUCUCAGUUGUGGAAGCUUCAGGAAAAGAAGUGGCUUCUGUCUUUUAGCAGAAUCUGCACUCAAGACAAGGAUGAGAAGAAUAUCCAGAAGCUCCCCAACCUCUCACCUAUGGUACUAGGCAAGUCCUUUGGAUGGACUGGGGAUGUACUUUGUUGGUGAACCAUCCCAUCCCCAAUCCAGACAUGUAACCAUAUCCCCUUUAUCCCCACCCCUCUUUCAGGAGAUUCCACCUCCCACACCUGAAGUAAAGAGAGGUAUAUGGACUUGGCCAUGGCAUCCCAAUCCAUACAAUGCUUGCAACAGGAAGGGCUUAGGUGGUCAUCAGGACAAUUUCAAAAUUAUGGUCAUUUGUUGCA